GCAGCAGGCACGCAAAUUACCCACUCCCGGCACGGAGAGGUAGUGACAAAAAAUAACGAUACGGGACUCUUUUGAGGCCCCGUAAUCGGAAUGAGUACACUUUAAAUCCUUUAACAAGGAUCGAUUGGAGGGCAAGUCUGGUGCCAGCAGCCGCGGUAAUUCCAGCUCCAAUAGCGUAUAUUAAAGUUGUUGCAGUUAAAAAGCUCGUAGUUGGUUUUGCGUUCAACGCUGUCGGUUCGCCGCCUGACGGUGAAACUGGCAUGUCGUUGUACGUCCUGCCGGUGGUAAAUUAUUGCCUGGUGUGUGACAAAAAAACUUCUAGUUAUUUUGUUGCUACCUUUGUUGCAAUUGUUUACCGAUAUCCUACCCGGUGCUCUUAAACGAGUGUCGCGGUAGGCCGGCAAAUUUACUUUGAACAAAUUAGAGUGCUUAAAGCAGGCUAAAAAUAUAGCCUGAAUAGUGGUGCAUGGAAUAAUAGAAUAGGACCUCGGUUCUAUUUUGUUGGUUUUUGGAACACAAGGUAAUGAUUAAUGUAGACAAUCGGGGGCAUUCGUAUUGCGGCGUUAGAGGUGAAAUUCUUGGAUCGUCGCAAGACGCACAAAAGCGAAAGCAAUUGCCAAGUAUGUCUUAAUUGAUCAAGAACGAAAGUUAGAGGCCCGAAGGCGAUCAGAUACCGCCCUAGUUCUAACCAUAAACGAUGCCAGCCAGCGAUCCGACGUGUUCAUAUUAUGACACGUGCGGGCAGCUUUUACCCGGGAAACCAAAGCUGUUGGGUUCCGGGGGAAGUAUGGUUGCAAAGCUGAAACUUAAAGGAAUUGACGGAAGGGCACCACCAGGAGUGGAGCCUGCGGCUUAAUUUGACUCAACACGGGAAACCUCACCGGGUCAGGACAUUGUAAGGAUUGACAGAUUGAUAGCUCUUUCUUGAUUCAGUGGGUAGUGGUGCAUGGCCGUUC
rnacentral:rRNA from 1 species